rnacentral:lncRNA from 1 species
GGGCGUCAGAUGGGUCAAAUGUGUCAGCGACGGUGACUGUACUGUACCCAGGAACGGAAAAAUUGAGUUCCGGGUACCAAAAAAUUACUUUUUCAGACGAAAUCGGUAAGGUAUGCACAACCUUUUUGCAGGCUGCUUAGAGUAAAUGUUGAAUAAAUAAAUUAAAAUAUAUGUGCAGAGGUACAAGGUGCUUGAUGAAAUUUCUGUGUGG